rnacentral:rRNA from 1 species
AUUGAACGCUGGCGGCAGGCCUAACACAUGCAAGUCGAGCGGAUGAAGGGAGCUUGCUCCUGGAUUCAGCGGCGGACGGGUGGGUAAUGCCUAGGAAUCUGCCUGGUAGUGGGGGAGAACGUCCGGAAACGGGCGCUAAUACCGCAUACGUCCUGAGGGAGAAAGUGGGGGAUCUUCGGACCUCACGCUAUCAGAUGAGCCUAGGUCGGAUUAGCUAGUUGGUGGGGUAAAGGCCUACCAAGGCGACGAUCCGUAACUGGUCUGAGAGGAUGAUCAGUCACACUGGAACUGAGACACGGUCCAGACUCCUACGGGAGGCAGCAGUGGGGAAUAUUGGACAAUGGGCGAAAGCCUGAUCCAGCCAUGCCGCGUGUGUGAAGAAGGUCUUCGGAUUGUAAAGCACUUUAAGUUGGGAGGAAGGGCAGUAAGUUAAUACCUUGCUGUUUUGACGUUACCAACAGAAUAAGCACCGGCUAACUUCGUG